rnacentral:rRNA from 1 species
GACAAACCGUGCAAACGUUUGUUCGGAAUCACUGGGCUUAAAGGGCGCGUAGGCGGGCGGCCAAGUCAGGGGGUGAAAUCUUUCGGCUUAACCGGAAAACAGCUUCUGAUACUGGCGGUCUGGAGGGAGGUAGGGGCACGUGGAACUUCCGGUGGAGCGGUGAAAUGCGUUGAUAUCGGAAGGAACGCCGGUGGCGAAAGCGACGUGCUGGACCUUUUUCUGACGCUGAGGCGCGAAAAGCCCAGGGGGAGCAAAACGGGG